rnacentral:snRNA from 1 species
AUACUUACCUGGACGGGGUCGACGGGCGAUCACGAAGGCCCGUGGCCUGGGUCAAUGGCCCACAUUGCACUUGGUGGGCGCGUUGGCCCAUCAUCUUCCCAAGUGGAAGAGUGAACGUCAUAAUUUGUGGUAGAGGGGGUACGCGUUCGCGCGGCCCCUGC